GAGUGAAUCCUUGGAGGUAGCAGGAUCCUAUGGAUCUAGAUGGGCCUGGCACGCCGCGGUCUGCCAGCAGGCGGAUCGUCGCGAGCUGGCGGGAGACUGGUUUGGGUGACGUUCAAUGAGAUUUGGCGGGUUCUGAGGGAGGGUGGACUUACAGGAAGGUAGGGAGAGGGAGUUAAGUGUUUAUAAUUAGUAAUUUGAAGUGUGUGUGUGUGUGCGCGCGCGCGUUGGUACUGAACUUAUAGGCAGUUGUGAGCUACCAUGAUGUGGGUGCUGAUAAUGGAGUUUACAUUCUCUGCAAGUUUUAUGUGUUUUUAACUGAUGAGCCAUUUCUGUAUUCCCCCCUCCUUACUCUUACAUUUGUUUUCCUAUUUUAUGUGUUUUGUCUGCAUGUUUAUGGACUACAUGCGUGCAUUGCCCACAAAGGCCAGAAGAAGUUGUGGGAUUCCCUGGAACUGGAGCAACCAACAGUUUGUGUGCACCAUGUGGGUAAUGGGAAUCGAACCUGGGUCCUCUAUAAGACUGGCCAGUGCUCUUAACUACUGAGGUGCAUUUCUUUCGGAAUUGAUUCACAUAACUAUUAUGCUAUACUGUUUGAAGUAUUUAUUAGAAAAACAUCAGAAAGAGGCUUCAUAUGGUCUGUGAAUUGAAUCUUGGGUAUUCCGAACUUUUGGGCUAAUAUCCACUUAUCAGUGAAUUUGGACCACUUUCAUUUACAUGAAGAAAUAUCUUAGGGUUUCUUUUCAGGUAUCUUUGAGUAUCUUCUGACACUAGAAGAUCCUGUAAACUCUACAGACUUCAACAGAAUUGAAGAACCUGGACAGAGCAGAGUUACCAACAAGAGAGCCCAGGGAUAGCAUUAACAUGGUGGUUACUCAAGACCUAACUCAGCCAGGGAGACAUACCAAGGCCUAUGAGGUGAAGGGAAAAGAAGGGUGACCCAAAGGGCAGGAAUUUUUUAUCCUGAACUUUUGAGCCUUAUAGAAAAACAUAAUUUGUUGGGCAUGUUUUCUGACCCUCAUACAGUUUUUACAACCAUUUGAAGAUAUAGUUCUAGCUCUAGUAGGCUCUACAGGAAGGUAUAUCAAACUUUUUAACAGAACACUUUAUUAUUUUAAAUAUAUGAGUAUUUCACCUGCAUAGGCGCACAGUACCCACAGAGACUAGAAGAGGGUGGCAGAUCUCCUGAGACUGGAGUUAAUGCUUGUGAGCUGCCAUGUGGAUGCUGGAAAUCAAACCCAGGUCCUUUGGAAGGCAGGCAGGUGCUCUUAAUCAUGGAAGCAUCUCUUCAGCUCCUACCCUAGUUCUUUAAUUUUGUUUUAAAUUUUUGAGGUAGGGUUUUGCUAAGUUACUUGGGCUGGCCUUGGACUAGUAACCAUUCUGUGUCAGCCUUCUGGGAUUAGAGGUAUGUGCUAGCAUGUCUAGCAUCUUUCUAUUUCUUUGGUUUUCCUUCUAAUUAAUUAAAAAAUACAUUAUCUUCUAAAUCUUUUAUUGUACAUCAUGAAUGCUAUUUCAGUUUUUGUUUAAAUAAGCUUAAAUGUAAACAUCACUAUAAGUACACCACUAUUUCUAUUGUGCAGUUUCAGUGAUACAAUAUCUUAUCACUUACAGAGUAUUAGUAAUAGUUUAAUUUAAAAAAAAUCAUUUAUUGUUGUUUUUUGUCUCACCCCCCUCCCCUCCCCCAAUCUCUGGAGCUGAGGACCAAACCCAGGGCCUUGUGCUUGCUAAGCAAAUGCUCUACCGCUGAGCUAAAUCUCCAACCCCUAGUUUAAUUUUGUUUUAGAAAGACUCUUACUUAAUGUACUUGCUGUGUGUGAUGGUUUGUAUAUUCUUGGACCAGGGAGUGGCAACAUUUGGAGGUGUGGCCUUGUUGGAAUAGGUGUGACCUGGUUGGAGUAGGUGUGUCACUGUGGGUGUGGGUAUGAGACCCUCACCCUAGUUGCCUGGAAGUCAGUCUUCCACUAGCAGCCUUUGGAUGAAGACAUAGAACUCUCAGCUCUUCCUGUGCCAUGCCUGCCUGGAUACUGCCAUGCUCCCACCGUGAUGGUAAUGGACUGAACCUCUGAACCUGUAAGCCAGCCCCAAUUAAAUGUUGUUUUUUAUAAGA
rnacentral:lncRNA from 1 species